AUGCUCUCUUUGACAGCACAUAUACUAAAAUUAGAAUGAUACAGAGAAGAUUAGCCUAGCCCCUGAACAAGGAUGACAUGCCAAAAAAACCAAAAAACAAAAACCAU